AUGGACGGAUGGAUGGAUGAUUUAAGACUGAGGCUGACUGUGGAAUUUGGGUUAAAAACUUGUAUUCCAAUGAAGUUUUCAAAAACAGGAAAAAAGGAACAGCUUGGUGCAGUGGCUGAAGUGGAGCUGCUAAUUCGCCGCAGUGACAGCAAAGGCAAGCUGAAAGGGGAAGAAUCAUUUCUAUUUGCCUUCAGAAUGCUGAGACUCCAAUAAAAAAAGCGUAAGAAAUAUUGGGCAAAAUAGAGAUCUGCACAUACAUAUUAAUUCA
rnacentral:lncRNA from 1 species